AUGAUCAUUGUCCUCCUUUCACGCUGGCUCUGGCGCAUCUCUCAAGGGCAUGGCGGUCUGUGGCUAGACAUCAUCCGGAAUAAAUACUUGCGUGGCCAACCUCUGGCCUUCUGCCAACGGUCGGGUGGGUCCCAGUUCUGGCAGUCGGUCAUCCAACUGCUCCCCGUCCUCCGCAUUGGGGCUUCCAUCUCGGUUGGAUCGGGAGCAGCGACCUUGUUCUGGUUUGACCGAUGGGCGGGUAACGCCCCAUUCGCGGCCCGCUUUCCCGACCUCUUCUCCAUCGCAGUCGUCCCUACAAUCUCAGUUCAACAGGCCCUUAUUGACUUAGGGCACCUCGCGUUCCGGAGGCCAUUUGGGCCUCCGGAAGUGGCCGCCUGGCAUGAGCUUCUUGAUUGUAUUGCUCUCCAUGAACCGACUGUAGAUGCUGGCCCGGAUGAGGUUCGGUGGCGCCUUGAGCCUCCGGUUCAAUUCUCCACCAAGUCCCUCUACGCGACUAUCGCCCCCUCCUCUGCCCGCCGCCCCACAGUUUGGUCCAUUCGCCUGCCCCUUAAAAUCCGGAUCUUCAUGUGGCAAUGGAUCCACGGUCGGCUUCCGUUGGGAGUUGAGGUUCGCAAGCGCAAUGGCCCGGGCUCUGGCCUCUGCCCCCUUUGUGAUACCCUCGAAGACUCGAACCACAUUUUCUUCUCCUGCGUGUCUGCUCAGUUCGUUUGGAGCUGCUUUAGAGAGGCGGUUGGUGGGGAUUGGUGCCACUCCAACUUCCCCGACCUCUUCGCCGAACUACAUGCCUCCCCGCUGCCCUCUCGCCACAUUAGGUGGCUUGAGAUUGGGGCCCUCGCGUGGACGCUCUGGACGAUUCACAAUAAACUUGUGAUUCAGCGCUCCCCUCUUCAACGUGCUACUAAUGCCCUCUUCAAACUGUCUGGUUACUUGCAGCUCUGGCGGCCGCUUAGCCGCCCUCGGGACCGGGACGCCAUCUCCGCCUUCAUCGCCGACCUCCGCUCGAUGGCCGUUCGCCUGUCGCCGCCCCCUCCGCCGCCUCCUCCUGGGCCUGAUUAG
rnacentral:rRNA from 1 species